GCCUGGCAUGGUGAGAGUGCACAGAAGCUGCUUAGGAAGGCAGUUUUGACCCUUCUUCCUCCUCCAAAUGGACUUGAGGGACAUGUGUACACCCUGCCCAGGCCCUUAAGGAUGUUCUGGCUUUACAUCUUGUUUCUAGUUGUCCUGUGAUCUGCCUGAGUGAGGAACCACCACCUGCAGACCCUAGGCAGGUCCCCUAGGCCUUCUCCUCACCAGGUGACAGGCACGCAGGCUGAGAGUAACCCACAUAAAUCGAGGUCGGUGUACUGGGCAGAUUCAGGAUGCGGGAGUCCUCUGCCUCAGGGGGCCCCAGCCCAAUCCCAGGCCUAGGAACUGGGUCAAAUCUGGAGAUAAACACAGGAGUCAUUCUCAAAGGCAGAGCUCACUUCCCCGCCAGGCCAGCAAGUUCCCAAAAGCAUCCAGCUUUGCUUGGGAGGGAAGACAAAGGAAACAGAUAUGGGGGGCGGGGUGAGGGAGGCCCUCUCCUCCAAUGGGCUCCUUUCUGUGAAAUUCUAGCAUCUGCAAAUUUAUUUCUGCCAGCAAUUUACCUUUUCUGCAAGCAGGAGAAAUCUGUUCUUGUUUAUGAGUCACUGCUUUAUGAGGAAAAUUAGGAACAGAGGCAUCUGCAGUUUGGGAAUAAGACAGAGAGGUGAAGUUGAGGGGCAGGGCUCAUAAAACACAAGCCCUGGUGUAAAAUUCAGUGUGGUCUUACUCCCAUUCAACCAGAGGCAGUCAUUUUUGUUGGCUGGACGUGUGUGACUUUAUUAAUAGUCACUCAGCACACUUUUAGAUCAAGCAAACACUUUCUAAGUAAAUAAACUUUAAAAGCUAUACUUGACACAAUGUCAUAAAGUGGAAAAUGUGCUGACCAUAGAAACUUGUUAAACCAAAAAUGUUCUGGGCAAGGACUGAGCGCUAGAUCUAUAGCUAGGGCCUGGGGUCCUUCUUUCUGGGAGUUAUGCCAUCAUUCUGUUUGCUGUGGAGGUUAUUGGCACUGGGGAAUCAACCUGGGGUCCUUUGGGAAUUUCCUCUUCCCUGAUGAGUUCUUCGUUUUUUUUUUUUUUUUUCUUUUUGGUACCGGAGAUCGAACUCACAACCUCACACUUGACAGGCAGGCGCCUGGGCCACUGAUCUAAAUCCCUAGCCCCUCUGACAAGUCCGUUGGUCAGGGACUUUGGUUACACUACUUGGUAACAGAGUCCUCCAACUACCCCCCAGUAGUCACAACCUUCCAGUUCAAGACUACAUUUCCCAACUCCCUUUGCAGCUAAUUGUACCAUGUGACUGGGACUCACCCAAUGGGAUGUGAGUGAAAAAUGGCAAAGGAGAACUUCUGAUUUGUGCUCUUAAAAAGGACAGGAGUGUCUUUUGCCCUCCCCAUCCCUGCUUCCUGAUGCCGGAGCCAGACACCACUUGGAGAUGUGGGUAGACCUGCCUUAUCAGCCCUAGACUAUGUACUGCUGAGUCAUCAUAGAGAAGACUAAACUUUUGAUUUGUUUAAAUGAGUGUAUUUUAGAGCUGGGCACGGUGGUGCACACCUGUAACUUCAGUACUUGGGAAGAUUGCCAUCAGUUCAAGACCAACGUGGACUACAUAAUGAAUUCAAGGCCAGCCUGAACCACAUAGCAAAACUCUGUCUCAAAAAGCCAAAACCAAACAAACCAAUCACCCCAAAACCAAAACCAAAACCAUAACAACAACAAAAACAAAACAAAAGCAAGUGUAUUUUUGGACUUGUCUCUUACAACAGCUUAUUUUGUAUCCUGCCUUCUCCAUGGCAAACCUAUCUUGAAGACUAACCCAAACCCUGUAGUGUUAGUUGCUGUAAGGUAGUUCAGCCAGCACCGUGAUCAGGACAACCUUGAGGUGGAAAGCAUGUCAGACCAGCCUUCAAAUCCUUACACCCUCUUCUAUGUGACUGUGAGCAAAUACUGUCACUGCACUGGGGGGAUUUCUUUCUUUCUCUCUUUUUCCUUCCUUCCUCUCUUCUCUCUCUCUUUCAUUGAUACUAGGUUGAAACAUAGACCUUCACAAAGAGCUACCUCCUUAGCUCUUUCUCACUUUUUUUCUUUUGAGACAAGGUAUUGCUAAGUCAUUUAUCUCCCAGGCUGGGUUUAAACUUGUGAGCCCCCUGCCUCAGUUUCCCAGAGUGCUGGAAUUACAAACCUGUGCCAUGGGGCCCAGCUACCUGGGAGGAUUUCAACUAGCGACACUUUUCACAUGGCUACUGGCUGUCUACAUGCCUACGUAACUGAAGCAAAAGUUGUGUGGGGUGAAACUUAGCCAUCUGACCUACACAGUGUACUCUGAUAUUUUUGAUUCCAGUGGUCCUCAAAUUGUGGAGUGAAUUAACAUCGCUUAAGAACUGUGGAAUCAGAAACUGCAGGCGAGGGUCUAACGAUCUUUUAUUUUGAUUUACUUUUUUGUGGCCUUGCGAAUUGAAUCUAAGGCCUUGUGCAUGCCUGGCAAGGGCUGUACCACUGAGUGACAAUCCCAGCUGCUGCAGUUUAUAUUAAACAAACCUUUGUGAUACAGCUAAAGUUUGAUUACUAAUGUUUACUUUAAGAAAAUACUGACUAUCACCUACCAAAUUAAUUUUAUAACCCUCUAAUAGGACACACCACUCACAUGGACUUAGCAGAAAUCUGUUUGCUAUCUGUAUUCUGGCUGCCAUUCAUUUCCUCUUCUAUACAACUUCCCCAGUUUCCUGUUGCUCCAGGGAUAGGUCGGACCCAGGACCGGCUGAAGCAGUGAUUGGCUCAGGGAUGAUCAUGUGACCCUCGAUACCCAAUGAGAUGUAAUCCUGAGACUUUUGCUGGAGAGAGACGUUCUGUUCCUUUGCGGGGAGUUACAGAGCUGUAGGAAGGAGGCUGGGGAGUGUCCAUGCUACUGUUGCCACCACAGGGAACAGUCUGUCUGAUGCUUCGGGCGCAGCUGAGGGAUGCGAGAGACUGUGUGCAGACGUUUUUAGCAUCCUGCAUCAUCUCCUGUCUCUAUGCUCAGGCCCAGUUGUGGUGACAGUCUUGUGUACAGUUAGGAUGUACCCCAGGGGUUUCCAGAGCUGAGGAGUCUGCUGGGCUGAAGAGUCUAGCCCCUGUUAUUUAUUGCAUAAAAUUUGAAAAAACACAUCCUUUUUAUCAUCUGUUCCUCUUUUCUUGUCUCAAUCUUGUUUCUCAUUCUUGCUGACUGUAAUCCCCUCCCAAACAAACUACCUGCAUUCAUGCCCUGGCCCAAGUGUCUGCUCUCAUGGAAAACUAAAUGAACACAAAGAGAUUCUUGGUGACAUUUGAGCAUCUGGAUGCAGCCAUACCUGAAACCAAUUUACUGGACUUUACAGCCUCUUAGAUCUUAGAUCCUGGAAUUACAGGCCUGCGCUACCACACCCAACCAGAAGCAAGCUUUGAAACUAUCUAACAUAACCUACUUGGCGUAUGAACCCCUUGUCCCAAGGCACAAACCCAGAAAGGCUUUGAGCAUCUGUAUGGAAGUGAGGGCACCAACAUCAGCCUUGAGCCAUCUCAAGGACAAGACCUUCUCACUGGGAGAUGAGGAAACCGGGGUUCAGAGGAGGAAGGGACUCAUCCAAGGUCAUGUGGCUAAAUGGGAAAUAGGCAGAGAAACCUUGAGUGAAUUGUCCAGGAAUAGACAGCAGGGGGAAGAUUGGAACUCAGGAUCUUCGACUUCAGAAUCCAGUCUCUUAUGAACACAUUCCUCAUGUUUCUGGCAGGUCUUUGCCUGAUCAAAUCUGAACCCUCCUACCAAGUAUGCAAAGCUCGUGAGGCUUGCGGUCAUCUCGGUGGGUAAGAGGAGAGAGGGUCGUGGACUGGGGCGAGUGGGUAAGAAGACGGGCUCCAAACUGACUACUACCUGCAGACAGAAUGCCAAGACAGGUGCCAUAGGAGCUCAAGGAGGGCACAGCCUCCUCCCUCAGAGAUCUCCCCUGUCUGAUGGAGGAGAAGAGAUCUCUGCCUCUGGAGACCUUCCAGUCUGAUGGGAGAGGCAGAGAACACACACACACACACACACACACACACACACACACACACACGCAUACCACACACACAACACACAUGCACACGCACACACACACACACAAAGACACGCAUGCACGCGCAUAUUAAUAAAAUAUGCCACUUCCUGGAAGGAGGUGUGGGAAAGCUUCCUGGGCUUUGCAUGGUGAGCCAGCCUAGUAACUGAACCCCACCCCUCGGGUGGGAGUCGUUAUCAGCACAGCCUUUCAGUGGGCUUCCUAGCCAUCAUGAGGCACUCGUUUUUAGCAGAGAAGAAAGACUGUUGUCAGAGGACAGGAAUAGCUUUCGAACUGUUCCCCACAAGCUAGUGUGCAACCGCCCAGGGCUGAGAAGGCAGUGCACACCCACAACGCCCUCUGCUGGACAGAUGGAGCAGCGCUGGGGGCUUGAGCGCCCAGGCCAUCUGUGUAGAUAGCCCCUGCUUUCUUGUUCUGGGGCACCCUAGUUGCUGAAGCCAUCAGUGCAGGGGAGAUGAGGACUGGGCCGGCACCUGAGAGGGUCCAUGUCUGCCACCUGGAGGACCCAGUCCUUUGAAAGCACCUCGUCUCAGGAAGCCAUUGUGAAUUAUCUCCUUUUCGCCAUCUGACUUCAGGAACUGCGGCUGGCCACCAUCCUAGAGUCCCUCUCCCACCUAAGGACCCUUCCCAUCAAUUUUGACCCCUGGUGACCCAUUCUCAACGUAUUACAGGGAGCAUGGGCCCCUUUCUUUCUCCAGAGCCCUGGAUCUGGGGGAGCCAGACUUUGGGUGCAGGCGAUCUGGAUUCCAGGAGGGAUUUAUGAUCAGCAAUUCCUAGUGAUGCUCAGAGGAGAUGAGGCAAUGGAGGAUUCUCGACAGAACCAGAGAGCUAGGAAGAGCUGAGCCAGGACCCACCUUGGUAUUUCCUCCUCAUCUCAGUCCAGCCUAACGACGCAUUGAGCCCAGGGAGCUCACAUUUUUGGAAGGAAGUGGAUACCACAGGAAGGAAGACCGCAGAGCCCCGGAAACCUCAGGCACUGUUUUCUGGAGAGAACCCAAGAAUCCUGAGCCAACGCGUCUCCCAAAGGCAGUGUGUCCCAUUCAUGUAGUUCAGGGAGGUGUUCAGGGGCCUUUGGGUCCCCCGAAGCUCUGAGCUGCAGGGGGGGCAGUGAGGGCCUUCUGUGUCUCAGGGAUGAAAUCAUCUGGGGGGCCACACUGGUGAGCAGGGUUCUGUUGCCUGUUUAAUUUCAGCCUGUUUCCACUCAAGUCAUCCCUGUGAGGGCUACUGGCGUGUGGAAGAAAUGUCUUUGGCCUGUUGGAAAUUCUUUUCUCAGUCACCUCUUCUCCCUGAAAUCUACAACAGGAUGACUAUCUUUAAGGAAAUAACAAAAGUUGCUCCGGGAUUUCCAAAUGUUUAACUUUGGGGCCAGUUCGUGUGGGUCCCAGGACAACAUGCUAUUUUUGAAUAAAUAUAUUGGGUGAAUAAA